AUACGUAGGUGACAAGCGUUAUCCGGAUUUACUGGGCGUAAAGGGCGUGUAGGCGGUCUUGCAAGUCAGAAGUGAAAUUCCUGAGCUCAACUCGGGCGCUGCUUCUGAAACUGCAGGACUUGAGUGCUGGAGGGGAUAGCGGAAUUCCUAGUGGAGCGGUAAAAUGCGCAGAUAUUAGGAAGAACACCGGUGGCGAAGGCGGCUAUCUGGACAGUAACUGACGCUGAGGCGCGAAAGCGUGGGGAGCAAACAGGAUUAGAUACCCUGGUAGUCCACGCCGCAAACGAUGAAUACUAGGUGUAGGGGGUAUCGACUCCCUCUGUGCCGCAGUUAACACAAUAAGUAUUCCGCCUGGGGAGUACGGCCGCAAGGUUGAAACUCAAAUGAAUUGGCGGGG
rnacentral:rRNA from 1 species